GGAGACGUGGGUGAGUGGCUUAAACCAGCGGUUUGCUAAACCGUCAUACGGGUAAUUCCGUAUCGGGGGUUCGAAUCCCCCCGUCUCCGCCA
rnacentral:tRNA from 1 species